rnacentral:rRNA from 1 species
GUAGUCAUAUGCUUGUCUCAAAGAUUAAGCCAUGCAUGUCUAAGUAUAAGCAAUCUAUACAGUGAAACUGCGAAUGGCUCAUUAAAUCAGUUAUCGUUUAUUUGAUAGUACCUUACUACUUGGAUAACCGUGGUAAUUCUAGAGCUAAUACAUGCUAAAAACCCCGACUUCGGAAGGGGUGUAUUUAUUAGAUAAAAAACCAAUGCCUUCGGGCUCCUUGGUGAUUCAUGAUAACUUUACGAAUCGCAUGGCCUUGUGCCGGCGAUGGUUCAUUCAAAUUUCUGCCCUAUCAACUUUCGAUGGUAGGAUAGUGGCCUACCAUGGUUUCAACGGGUAACGGGGAAU